GACGUAGGGCGCGAGCGUUGUCCGGAUUUAUUGGGCGUAAAGAGCUCGUAGGCGGCUUGUCGCGUCGAAUGUGAAAACCUGCAGCUCAACUGCAGGCUUGCAUUCGAUACGGGCAGGCUCGAGUUCGGUAGGGGAGACUGGAAUUCCUGGUGUAGCGGUGAAAUGCACAGAUAUCAGGAGGAACGACCGGUGGCGAAGGGCGGGUCACUGG
rnacentral:rRNA from 1 species